UCAUAAUAUCUAAUAAAAAUAAUAUCCAAAGAAAUUUAGCCAUGAAUCCAAGCCAAAGAAAAUAAGAAAAGCAUAAAAGUAGAGAAAAAAACUAAUUAUUGAAGCUUUGCAAUCUCAAUUCUCUCUCAAUUUAUCUUGUUUUCUUGCUUUGUUCUUGGCUCCAAAACUCUAGAAUAGUUGGCUAUUGCCCCCUCUUUAAAAUCUUUGAAAAAAGUCCCUUAAAUAGGCUCUAAGUAACCUAAUUUCCAAAAUAUCGUCAACUUUUUAUCUUUUAAAAAUCGCCUAGAGUUGCGUCGCUACUUUUUC
rnacentral:lncRNA from 1 species